rnacentral:lncRNA from 1 species
AAAAUCUGCUCGUUAUUUGCCAGGAUAAAGCAAUUCCUAUUUGUGUAUUAUAAACUUAAUACAAUUUAUAUGCCGAAAAUCUUUUUCCUUUCUUUCUCCCACAUGAGGCAUUUUUAUGAUGAUUAAGAGGAAAACAGCCUAAAAUGCUAUAUUAGUUCACAAAAUUUCUCAGAAUGGUGUAUGAAAACUGAAACUGAAACAUUACAGAGGUGGUGAAAUCUACUUAUACUCAAUUACUUAAGGGCAGAAAAAUAUUAGCUACCAUAUCAGUGGCUACAGAUCUACAUGAUGUGUUAAUACUGAUAUUAAAAAUAAGCAUGAAAUUUGGGUGAAUCUUCUAGAUAGGGGUGUUCUUCUAAACAGAUUUAGAAAAGUUGAUGAAUUUGUAAACCAUUAAAAUUAACUGAGGGAUAAAAUGAGAAACGCAUAGGAUAUCAUCAUAUUAAACUUUCCUAAGAAAGUAAGAAUCAUUUUGAAAUGUGAUUGGUUUCCAUCUUCUUAGUUGGCUCUGCCCUGACCCCAACUCCUUUAUUUUUUUGAGGUAGAAAGUAUGUCCUUGCUACAUUCCUUUUUUGGAGUUCUUUUAUUUCAUUCUUUUGGAAUCGGAGAGAAACAAGUUGCUGCCCCAGGAAAGCGUGCAUUUUCGGAGAUCACUCAUUGCAGAAGAAGCCAACUGCCAUGCCAGAGGGGCACUCAAACAGCUCUGCAAGGAAGUCCCUGUGAUAAGCAACUGAAGACUCUGCCAUCGGCCAUGAGAGCGCCACCUUGGAAACAGAUUCUUCAGCCUUAGUCAAAUUUUCAGAAGACUGUAUGUCCAGCCAACUUCUUGACUACAAUCCCUUUAUAGAUCCCAAGCUAGAACCUCCCAGCUAAGCCACUCCUGGAUUCCUGACCCUGAGAAACUCUGUGAGAGAAUAAAUGUUUAUUCUUGCCUUAAGCUCCUAAAUUUGGAGGUAA